rnacentral:rRNA from 1 species
AGUGAACGCUGGCGGUAGGCCUAACACAUGCAAGUCGAACGGCAGCACAGUAAGAGCUUGCUCUUACGGGUGGCGAGUGGCGGACGGGUGAGGAAUACAUCGGAAUCUACUUUUUCGUGGGGGAUAACGUAGGGAAACUUACGCUAAUACCGCAUACGACCUACGGGUGAAAGCAGGGGAUCUUCGGACCUUGCGCGAUUGAAUGAGCCGAUGUCGGAUUGGCUAGUUGGCGGGGUAAAGGCCCACCAAGGCGACGAUCCGUAGCUGGUCUGAGAGGAUGAUCAGCCACACUGGAACUGAGACACGGUCCAGACUCCUACGGGAGGCAGCAGUGGGGAAUAUUGGACAGUGGGCGCAAGCCUGAUCCAGCCAUACCGCGUGGGUGAAGAAGGCCUUCGGGUUGUAAAGCCCUUUUGUUGGGAAAGAAAAGCAGCAGGUUAAGACCCCGCUGUUCUGACGGUACCCAAAGAAUAAGCACCGGCUAACUUCGU